rnacentral:tRNA from 1 species
UGCGGGUGUAGUCGAAUGGUAAAACAUCUCCUUGCCAAGGAGAAGACGCGGGUUCGAUUCCCGCUACCCGCC